AAGUCGUAACAAGGUUUCCGUAGGUGAACCUGCGGAAGGAUCAUUAAUGAAUGAAUGUAGAGUUGGUUGUAGCUGGCCUCCUUGAGGCAUGUGCACGCCUUCUCUUUCAUCCACACACCCCUGUGCACCUGUGAGACGGAGGUGUUUUCCUUUAAAUAGGAUCGGCCUCCGUCUGCUAUCACAUAAAAUCUAAUUAAUUUAAAACUGAAUGUAAUUGAUGUAACGCAUCUAAUACAAAGUUUCAACAACGGAUCUCUUGGCUCUC
rnacentral:misc_RNA from 1 species